CGGAAUGUUGGAGGGGGAGGGAAGAAGGAAAAAGGAACGUUGGAGAAGCAGUGCUGGGGAGAGAGCAGGAAACUGGGGAGGUGACAAGGUCCCACACCAGACCUGGCUGCUCCUGGCCAUGGACACCACUGCCCUGGGAUACAAAAUAUUCCGUGGCAUGGUGGGGAGCGGGGAAUCGAAAAUGCAGCAGGCCAAGCAACAGCCACUGAAGGAUGUGUGAUCCCAACCCCGGCACCGGUAAAUGUGACCUCAUGAGGAAAAGGAGUCUUCGCAGACGGGAGCAGAUUAAGGAUCUUGCCAUGAAGACAUUACCCUGGAUUAGCCAGGAGGAAGAUAAGACAGCCUCAGAUGCAGUGACCUCAAGAAUCAAGACCUGAAUCCCUGGACACACCUGCUUGCCAUCAUUGGGCUCCAAAGCCAAAAAUUGGCCUGACUUUUUUUUUCCCCUAAGAAAUAAACACCAAAUUUCUUCCUAGAGUACAAAAAUUCAAGGAAGCUUCUGAUAACGCAGGCACAUAGUGGUACAAGGAACACAGCCACUGUAAGAUUAGGACUUUGGCGUCUGUGUCUGAAUGUGCUACUGAAACAGGUUAUUUCUAACACAAGGGCAAUGUUGGGGCCAGGCGGGAAGGGAAACUCCUCAAGAUGGCAGAUACGCCAAAUGGCUGAGGUUCCUGUCACCACCUCCACUUGGGACGACAGCUU